AGCUUGUCUGAUGGUAGUGGGUUAUCAGAACUUAGUAACAUUAGUGUCACUAAAGUUGGUAUUCAACCCCCCACUGCUAAAUUUGACUGGCUUUAA
rnacentral:Y_RNA from 1 species